CCAUGUGCAAACGCAGACUUUGAGCCUAGUGCCUCUCUCUCAGGCUCCUCACACGCCCUGGCCACGAGACAGCUUCCCGAUGGCCGCCAGUCACCACGCAAGCACAAAUACACAUGGGUGCUGCCUCUUAUUGUUUUCCAGAACAUCCUCUCUCAGGCCCAAACAUUGCCACAUCACCACCACCUCUUGGCGAAGCUGCCCUUUAUGACCCAGCACAGGCACCAAAGGCAUCAGGCUGGUAUUUCCUCUGCCCCGGAGGGAUUUUUAUGGGGCUUUUAUUCGGUUUCGUUUUUGCUACACUUCUGAGAAUUCUUCUUUUGUUCUUCCGUUUGGUCGUGACGUCCACUCUCCAAGGAAUUCUGCUCAGAAAAGUCACACAGCUGUUACCUGAAGCAUAUACCUCCAGAAAGAGAGCUGCACCCGCCGCCGCCGCCACCACCACAUCCUCCCAGGAAAUAAUGUCUCAAAUGACAGAAUAAGUCCAUCCUCACUGCUGGGUUUGGCCCAGCUCAGCCAAGACUGGCAGUUGCUUCCAGGACAGACAGUGACCACGACUUGGAAAGCAAGAUGGGGGGCAAGGGCCCACCCUGCCACAGACCCUCAGACCUCGUUUUCCUAUGCCCCCCCUCCUUCAGUAUAUUCUAAACAUUGCCUAG